rnacentral:rRNA from 1 species
UAUCUAGAAUGAAAGGUCUGACGAAAGAUUUAUCUUCUUUUUUCAUAGCUAAAUUAAUUUGUGUAUAAAAAAGUUUAUAUAACCUAAGAAGACGAGAAGACCCUAAAACCUUACAAAGUAAAUUUACUUUGUUCACUGGGGAGGUGAAUUAUACUAGCAUGAACUCUUAUAACAUAUUAAGUGAUCUUAAUUAACUUCAAACUUAUACAAAAAGGUACUUUAGGGAUAACAGCAUAAUUUUUAUUUAAAGAUCUUAUUGACAUAAAAGUUUAUGACCUCGAUGUUGAAUUGAUAAAGCAUUGUUAAGUAGGAAUAAUAAAGGCAGGUCUGUUCGACCUUUGAUUUAUCACGUGAUCUGA